GCAUAUCAAUAAGCGGAGGAAAAGAAACUAACAAGGAUUCCCCUAGUAACGGCGAAGUGAAGAAGGGAAGAAGCCCAAGAUUGAAAGCUGGCGUCUUCGGCGUCCGCAUUGUAAUCUCAAGAAGUGUUUUCCGCUUCGGACCAUGCCUAAGUCCCUUGGAAAAGGGCAUCAUAGAGGGUGAUAAUCCCGUACAUGGCAUGGAGCGCCCGAAGCUUUGUGAUACGCUUUCUAAGAGUCGAGUUGUUUGGGAAUGCAGCUCAAAAUGGGUGGUAAAUGCCAUCUAAGGCUAAAUAUUGGGGAGAGACCGAUAGCGAACAAGUACAGUGAUGGAAAGAUGAAAAGAACUUUGAAAAGAGAGUUAAACAGUACGUGAAAUUGCCAAAAGGGAAGGGUAGGAGGUCAGAGAUGCGGCCUAGGAUUCAGCCUUGCUUUUGCUUGGUGUUUUUCCUAGGUUGCAGGCCAACGUCGGUUUUGGGCACUGGAGAAGGGUGGAAGGAAUGUGGCACCUCUCGGGGUGUGUUAUAGCCUUCUACUGGAUACAGCGACCGAGACCGAGGACAGCAGCGUACUCGCAAGAGCGGGCCUUCGGGCACCUUUACGCUUAGGGCGUUGGCAUAAUGGCCCUCUACCACCCGUCUUGAAACACGGACCAAGGAGUCUAACAUGUAUGCGAGUCUUUGGGUGGCAAACCCAUAGGCGCAAUGAAAGUGAAUUCAGGUGGGAUCCGCAAGGUGCACCAUCGACCGAUCCUCACGUCUUUUUAAGUCGUGGAUUUGAGUAAGAGCAUACCUGUUGGGACCCGAAAGAUGGUGAACUAUGCCUGAAUAGGGUGAAGCCAGAGGAAACUCUGGUGGAGGCUCGUAGCGGUUCUGACGUGCAAAUCGAUCGUCAAAUUUGGGUAUAGGGGCGAAAGACUAAUCGAACCAUCUAGUAGCUGGUCCUGCG
rnacentral:rRNA from 1 species